CGGAAGCUCCCCAGAGGAGUAAGAGUCUGUGUGAGAGCUCCAGCACGCGUCGUAGAAACAAUUAAAAAGUUUGCCAACUCCUGCUCAACAGGGUUGGUCACCCAAGCCCUCUUACAUCCUGGGUGACUUAAAGGAUACCCACAGUGUGCCAUGAGAUCCACAGAAGACCAACUCCAAAGACCUAGUCAUUCCACAACCUGGCCCGGGCCUUGGAGCAGGAGCUGAAUGGGAGAAUAAAAAAUACAGAGUAAGGAGAAUGGUAUGUUCUCAGGAGGGAAGGUGGUGUGGGGGCCCCUCAUAUAUUUCUGGGAUGAAGACCCAGGCCAUGGUUCCUCUCCACAGAGAUAAAAGGGGGGAGGGUCAGGCUUUGUGGGGCCUUGGGGGGAGGCUCUCCCUUUCCCAGGGAUGGUCCACCCCGAAGAAGCCCCUCAGGGAAUUCCCUUCAGUGGCCUUUGGAUAGGUGUGGAAGGGAUCAUGGAAGGUAGCCUAGGGGCUGUGGCUUUUGACUUGAUCCAUGGUGGAGGGCCUGGAUUUUGCAUUUUGUCUAAAUUGUGGUAAAUUACACAUUUCAAAUUUACCAUCUUAACCAUUUCUAAGUGUACAGUUCAGUAGUGUUAGAGAUAUUCACAUUUUUGUGCAACCAAU